rnacentral:rRNA from 1 species
AGUAAAAGUCGUAACAAGGUCUCCGUUGGUGAACCAGCGGAGGGAUCAUUACAAGAGUAGCCCUAGGCUCUCCAACCCACUGUGAACAUACCUACGUUCCCCCGGCGGGCUCAGCGCGCGGUGCCUCCGGGCGCCGGGCGUCCGCCGAGGGCAUCCAAACUCGAAUUUAUUACGUGUAUAUCUGAGGGGCGAAAGCCUGUAAAAAUAAAUCAAAACUUUCAACAACGGAUCUCUUGGCUCUGGCAUCGAUGAAGAACGCAGCGAAAUGCGAUAAGUAAUGUGAAUUGCAGAAUUCAGUGAAUCAUCGAAUCUUUGAACGCACAUUGCGCCCGCCGGCACUCCGGCGGGCAUGCCUGUCCGAGCGUCAUUUCAACCCUCAGGCCCUCCCUUCCGGGGGACGGGCCUGGUGUUGGGGCUCGGGGUCCGCAAGGCCCCCGUCCCCUAAAAUCAUUGGCGGUCGCGCUGUAAUCCCCUGCGUAGUAACACACCUCGCUCUGGAGACCAGCACGUCCACGCCGUAAAACCCCCAAUUACCAAGGUUGACCUCGGAUCAGGUAGGAAUACCCGCUGAACUUAAGCAUAUCAAUAAGCGGAGGA